rnacentral:rRNA from 1 species
UGGUGUCCACGAGCCUGCGUGCCGGCCGUAGUACCAGCAGUAUUGAGUAUUGGGUACUCCACCACUGGUUCGUUCUUUCCUUCCUUGAAAGCGCGUUUCUUUUGUGUGUGUCCCGUCCUUGUACUGAUGAGAGCGGGAAGGUACAAAGACUAGCUAGCUUGAGAAGCCACUGGUUUUUUACUCUUUUCCCGUCCAGCAGCUACAUGUCUGGUGUCCGCGAGCCUGCGUGCCGGCCGUAGUACCAGCAGUAUCGAGUAUUGGGUACUCCCCCACUGCUUCGUUCUUCCUUCCA